rnacentral:rRNA from 1 species
AUUGAACGCUGGCGGCAUGCCUAAUACAUGCAAGUCGAGCGAGCGGCGGACGGGUGAGUAAUGUCUGGGAAACUGCCUGAUGGCGGGGGAUAACUACUGGAAACGGUAGCUAAUACCGCAUACCAUCAGAUGUGCCCAGUGGGGAUUAGCUAGUAGGUGGGGUAAUUGCGCAACUAGGAGACGAUCCCUAGCCGGUCUGAGAGGAUGACCAGCCAAACUGGAACUGAGACACGGUCCAGACUCCUACGGGAGGCAGCAGUGGGGAAUAUUGCACAAUGGGCGCAAGUCUGAUGCAGCCAUGCCGCGUGUGUGAAGAAGGCCUUCGGGUUGUAAAGCACUUUCAGCGGGGAGGCGUUACCCGCAGAAGAAGCACCGGCUAACUCCGUGCCAGCAGCCGCGGUAAUUC